AUACAUAGGGGGCAAGCGUUAUCCGGAAUUAUUGGGCGUAAAGGGUGCGUAGGCGGUCUAUUAAGUCUGAGGUGUAAGUGCAGGGCCCAACCCUGUGAUGCUUUAGAAACUGGUAGACUUGAGUGAGAUAGAGGCAAGUGGAAUUCCAUGUGUAGCGGUAAAAUGCGUAAAUAUAUGGAGGAACACCAGUGGCGAAGGCGGCUUGCUGGGUCUAUACUGACGCUGAGGCACGAAAGCGUGGGGAGCAAACAGGAUUAGAUGCCCUGGUAGUCCACGCCGUAAACGAUGAGUACUAAGUGUUGCGAGAACGCAGUGCUGAAGUUAACAUAUUAAGUACUCCGCCUGAGUAGUACGUACGCAAGUAUGAAACUCAAAUGAAUUGACGGGG
rnacentral:rRNA from 1 species